rnacentral:rRNA from 1 species
GACGAACGCUGGCGGCGUGCUUAACACAUGCAAGUCGAACGGAAAGGCCCUGCUUUUGUGGGGUGCUCGAGUGGCGAACGGGUGAGUAACACGUGAGUAACCUGCCCUUGACUUUGGGAUAACUUCAGGAAACUGGGGCUAAUACCGGAUAGGAGCUCCUGCUGCAUGGUGGGGGUUGGAAAGUUUCGGCGGUUGGGGAUGGACUCGCGGCUUAUCAGCUUGUUGGUGGGGUAGUGGCUUACCAAGGCUUUGACGGGUAGCCGGCCUGAGAGGGUGACCGGCCACAUUGGGACUGAGAUACGGCCCAGACUCCUACGGGAGGCAGCAGUGGGGAAUAUUGCAUAAUGGGCGGAAGCCUGAUGCAGCAACGCCGCGUGCGGGAUGACGGCCUUCGGGUUGUAAACCACUUUCGCCUGUGACGAAGCGUGAGUGACGGUAAUGGGUAAAGAAGCACCGGCUAACUACGUG